AUACGGAGGGGGCUAGCGUUGUUCGGAAUUACUGGGCGUAAAGGGCACGUAGGCGGACCAGCCAGUCAGGCGUGAAAGCCCCGGGCUUAACCUGGGAACUGCGCUUGAUACUGCUGGUCUAGAGUCCGGGAGAGGGUAGUGGAAUUCCCAGUGUAGAGGUGAAAUUCGUAGAUAUUGGGAAGAACACCGGUGGCGAAGGCGGCUACCUGGACCGGUACUGACGCUAAGGUGCGAAAGCGUGGGGAGCAAACAGGAUUAGAUACCCCGGUAGUCC
rnacentral:rRNA from 1 species